GAGGUCACCAGCUAUUGUAUGUGACAAAUAACACUGACCGGUGGAGCUUCCUGACUCCAGGGAAAAGAAUAAAGUUACAGCCAUCACUAAGAAAGGCAAGAAGGAAGAUCCUGGGAACUACAUAAGUCAGUCUCACCUCAGUGUCUGAAAGAUUCCUGCAUAGGUCCCUGUGGAAUCUAUUUCCAAGGGCCUCAUCGAUGUACUGGCGGAAGUAAUCUACUCGCAGGGUGUCAUUGAGUAGAUCUCCGGCGUCUCCUGUAGGCACACCAUUCCCUGCUAUGUAUAUUGGGAUCUUUGACCCUGUGUAUUCCUGGGAUACAAACUUCAGCAGCCUUCUUAAUCCCCAAGGGACCACAUGGAUCCAAGAAGAGGCAGCCUGUGGCCAGGAAGGAUCUACAUGCAAGGAGAAGUUCCCAAUGCUCUCGUAGCCCGGUGUGCACAUCCCAAUAGUCCCGGCACUGACCAGGCGGGAAGUGUAAUGGGAAAGGCCAAAAAAGUCUGCAGUCCCUUUCACCAAGGACUUCUCCUCCUCUGUAAACACGGGCAGCUGUGCAACUGUCGUGGAGCACUGCUGGUUCACUUCCUGGAUCUGAGCCUUCAGCAUAUCUGGGUAAUCACCAUUAACAAAUAUGGGGUGAGCAAACCAGCCAAGCAUGAACUGCAGGUACCUCUCAGAUGCCCUCAUGUCCUCGGAGCUGCCUGGAGUUUUGGGUUCAGCCCAGUCUGAGUUCAGCACCAGCCCCACCUUUCCCAAUUGCUGAGAACGGUAUUUGUCAUUAUACAAGUGCCAGACCUUGGCAUGAGCCUUCAGAAUUGUGUGAGCAACCUGGGAAGCAGAAGGCAGAGGAAAAUGUAUCACAUUCCAUUGCACAGAACCUCUUAAGCAUUUGGUUGAUUUAUUGCCAUGUGAAAAUGUCCUCUCCAUCCAAAAGAAAACACCUUGACAAAACUAAUGAUAGACAAGGGAGUGUAGUAGGUUUUGGAAUAACCAAAAGAAUUUGACUAUCCAUCUACAUCAGCCUUCAGAAUAGAAAAAUAAAAUAACGUCUGGCCUCUGUUAACUAACUCAUUUUUAAGUAUCAUAAAUCCAGCAACCAAAUAGUUGUCUCAGAGGCCACAUUAGGUUUGAACAUAGUUAAAGCACAGAACCAGCAUGGAAAACAACCCAACAAGAGUAGCUUCAGGAACCUAAUUAUUCCUGUGCCCUACCUUGUAAGAUGCUGCUCCUGGGUCAGUGAUUCCUGGAGGAUGCUCUCCGGUGCCAUAGCCAGCAUAGCUGAUAACCCAGGGCUCAUGGAAUGUAACCCAGAGCUUGACCCGGUCCCCGAAUGUGGAAAAGCAGAAGUCUGCGUAGCUCACAAAAGCAUCUAUGAUGCUUUCAUUCUGCCAGCCACCAAGAGCCUGCAGAGCCUGGGGCAGGUCCCAAUGGAACAGAGUCACCAUGGGCUCAAUGUUAGAGUCUACCAAGCGGUCAAUUAAGUGGUUGUAAUAAUCAACACCCUUGGAAUUGAUGGUCUUGUUCAUGCCAGCAGGGAAAAUUCUAGACCAGGAUACAGAAAAUUUGUACAGCUGGGGGUGAAGACCCCUAAGCAGGUAAAUGUCAUAGCCGGUUUUAUAGUAGCUGUCACAUGCCACAUCUGCUGUUUGGUUCAUUUGGACAUGACCCCCAUGCCCAAAGUGGUCCCAGAUGCUCUCUCCUUUACCAUCCUCUGCCCAAGCUCCUUCAAUGUUAAAGGCACCUGUGGAUAUGCCCCAGAGGAACCCACUUGGGAAAACAUCUUGCAGGAAAGAAUCCCUCUCCGAUUCAGACUGUUCACCAAACAUUUCCCAGACUGUUUGAUACGAGGACCGAGGAGCAAGAACAGCAUCUGGGUUUUCCUGUAGAGUAUUUGUUUCACUGGAAAUAUAAUAAAUAGAGGUUAAAAUCUCCAA